GAUCGGGCCAACAAACUGCAAUACCAAGGGAGGUGUGAAUUCGGAUUGGACAUGGGCCUCAAAGCAGAGGCCCAUUCGCUACUGUAGGAAAUGUGAGGGGGUGCGGAUAGACAAAAUGUCUAGGCCUUAGGCCCAAAGGAUCAUGGAAUAACAUAGUAUGCCCAAGCCUUUAACACUCUUCAUGAACCGAAGCAGAACAAGGAGGAAAACGCUUCUCAGAAGAAAAAAAAGGCGUCGCGACUUCGACUUCAACGUGCGCGUUCGAUGCUCCGGUCUCAUAUGCUCUUCAGGUUUUGUUCCCGCUUCAAGGUGCGUGAAAAUGGUACGAGCAGAAAACGAAAUCGAGUCUCGCCUCAGCUCAAAUCCACCACCGCUUCUGUCACCAAUACUCGUGUUCAGCUAGAAUUCGACUCGUUCGUGCAAGGCAACAGGGAGAAACACCGCGAUCGCAGGCUCAUCACGCUGGUGUUGCACCUUCGAAACCUUAUUCGAAAUAGAAAGUAGGAACGCUAACAGUUCAAGCGUGCGCGAACAAAGGAAACAUGAGAACGAAGACGAAGUAAUCAACUCACCAGUAACCAAAACGACUGCAGUGAGUCUGUUGAGCUUGAUGCAGAAGAUUGCAAAGGUUGCAGAAAGUGGAUGGAUCUUAAAGAUUGCAGAAGGAAGCUCGAAAUUGCGGCAAGAUCUCAAUGAAGAAAGUUGCAGCAUGCUUGAAGCGAAGACAAAAUGCCGGCACCACAGAAUGAAGCAAGUGAAAUGUUAUAUAGAGGGAUGAAGAGUUAUAACCGAAAUGGGCAGUGCGGGCAAUUCUGUCAGGGCAGGUAACAGAGUUAGUUUAAAUUCACAUUGAAAUGAAAUUGAGAUUUAAUAUUUAGUUAGGUUCGAUUUGUUAGUUAAACUCUGUUGAAUUCUGUUGAAAGACUCAUGUUGAAAUCCCGCUGCCAGUUGUUACAUGUUAAGUUCUGUUAGAAAUUCAGUUUGAGUUGGUUGAAGUUGAAAUGAAUGAGCUCAAUAGGAAGUGAAUGAAACCCGAGUGGCAGUGUUAGUUAAGGUAUUAGUUAGUUUCUGAUUAGGUGGUGUGAUGCAAUUUUGAGCUUAAAUUCUAUUAAAGUUGUUUCAAAAAAACAGUUAGAAUUAAUUGGUUUAAAUGUUGUAUUAGCCGACUAUUAAAUGAAUUUGUUAGCUAAAUGGUUUAAAAAAAGAAGGAUUAGAUGGAACUCUCAGUUUCUUUUAUAUGCAAAACAAGAUGGAAGUGAGGUUAUGAGAUGUUGAGUUAGUUGAAUUUAAUUUAUUAUUAGGUGCAGUUAGUGAAAAUUCAGCUAUGAUGGUUGUUGCUGAAAUUCUGUUAGAACGUACUUGUUCCAACUUGUGGGGACUGUCAUGACUUGUGUUAAUAAUUAGGUCAAUUUGUAAUCUUGGCUUCAGAAGUGAUUUUGUGUAAUUGAUCCAUGUUUGUUUGGUUGGUAAAAUUCCUGCUGAAAUGAACAUAUACUAAUGGUUUGAGUGGUUGGUUUGGAUGCUUAAAAUGGUGAUUAAAAGAAUAUUCAGGACUGUUAUUGCUUAUGAGUGCAGUUGUUUUUUCUUUUUGCAGAACUGGUUGUCACAAGGUUAGAUGUUAUUGCAUUGCUAAUUGAUGAGUAUGCCAUGAUCAUGUUUGGUGGAUAGUUGAUGAACACUUAUGCUAGGGCAGUAAUAGGUUUCUAAGUUCAUUGUAAAUUACCUUGUUUGAACAUGUGAUUUGCUUUUGUUUGAAUUUCAUGGCAAUGUGCUAAUGUAUGGUUAUGACUUGGUUGAUUUUGUAGGUUUGGUGGACAUGACCUUGAACAUGGGCAAUGUUACUUGUAAAUGAAGAAACAUGGUAAAAGCAAACCAACAUGACUUUUGGAUGAUGAAACAAGGCAAGAUGGAUAGGAUUUGGUCUUAGGUGGUCAAAAGGGUUGAGUUGACUUUGGUCAAAGUUGACCAAAAAGUCAAUUGUUGAUCAAAGUCAACACUUGGUUAAAGUUCAAUUUUUUUAAAAUAAUUUUCUCAUGUAUGGACACUUAUGCUUUGUAAUUGAAGUUGUAAUUUAAUGAUACCUUGAAUGGUCUCAUAUGAACAUGAUUUGAAUGAACAAUGACUAUGACUUUUUGAAUGA